CAGGCCUAACACAUGCAAGUCGAACGAGUGCCUUCGGGUGCUAGUGGCGCACGGGUGCGUAACGCGUGGGAAUCUGCCCUGGGGUUCGGGAUAACCGUUGGAAACGACGGCUAAUACCGGAUGAUGAUGAAAAUCCAAAGAUUUAUCGCCCUGGGAUGAGCCCGCGUCGGAUUAGCUAGUUGGUGGGGUAAAGGCCUACCAAGGCGACGAUCCGUAGCUGGUCUGAGAGGAUGAUCAGCCACACUGGGACUGAGACACGGCCCAGACUCCUACGGGAGGCAGCAGUGGGGAAUAUUGGACAAUGGGCGCAAGCCUGAUCCAGCAAUGCCGCGUGAGUGAUGAAGGCCUUAGGGUUGUAAAGCUCUUUUACCCGGGAUGAUAAUGACAGUACCGGGAGAGUAAGCCCCGGCUAACUCCGUGCCAGCAGCCGCGGUAAU
rnacentral:rRNA from 1 species